rnacentral:rRNA from 1 species
CUACGGGUGGCAGCAGUGGGGAAUAUUGGACAAUGGGGGAAACCCUGAUCCAGCCAUGCCGCGUGAAUGAUGAAGGCCUUCGGGUUGUAAAGUUCUUUUGGUAGGGACGAUGAUGACGGUACCUACAGAAUAAGCCCCGGCUAACUUCGUGCCAGCAGCCGCGGUAAUACGAAGGGGGCUAGCGUUAAUCGGAAUUACUGGGCGUAAAGCGCGCGUAGGCGGCUAGAUCAGUCGGGUGUGAAAGCCCCGGGCUUAACCUGGGAACUGCAUCCGAUACUGUCUAGCUUGAGUACAGGAGAGGAGAGUGGAAUUCCACAUGUAGCGGUGAAAUGCGUAGAUAUGUGGAGGAACACCAAUGGCGAAGGCAGCUCUCUGGCCUGAUACUGACGCUGAGGUGCGAAAGCGUGGGGAGCAAACAGGAUUAGAUACCCUAGUAGUC